UAUCUGUCUUACCAUAUGCUGUCAGCUCGGUUCUUAUCCAGGAAGAAAUGGGUAUCCAGAGGCCUAUCUAUUAUACAAGUAAAUUAUUGCGAGAUGCUGAGACCUGAUACCAAAAGGUUGAAAAAAUGAUAUAUGCUUUAAUUGCAGCAGCCUGAAGACUUAGGCCUUACUUCCAAGCUCAUACAAUUAUAGUGCUAAUAGAUCAACCACU
rnacentral:lncRNA from 1 species